UACGUAGGGUGCGAGCGUUGUCCGGAAUUACUGGGCGUAAAGAGCUCAUAGGUGGUUUGUCGCGUUGUUCGUGAAAACCUGAGGCUUAACCUUGGGCGUGCGGGCGAUACGGGCAGACUGGAGUACUGCAGGGGAGACUGGAAUUCCUGGUGUAGCGGUGGAAUGCGCAGAUAUCAGGAGGAACACCGGUGGCGAAGGCGGGUCUCUGGGCAGUAACUGACGCUGAGGAGCGAAAGCGUGGGGAGCGAACAGG
rnacentral:rRNA from 1 species